rnacentral:rRNA from 1 species
GCCACACAUGUGUCACACUUUUGGCCGCAAUGCACCCCAUCGUCUCCGGCACCGCCGCCGCCGCCAGAAAUCGAGGCACACCGACUCCAGCAACCUCCUCCAGUCCUUGAGCGCCGUCCCCUACCUCCUCCUCCCACGGAAUCGAGCCCCCAUCAGCCGAGUGUCUCCCCCGACCUGCUUCGGCCGCCGGUUUUGACCCUCACCGCUUCCGGCCUUGGUAAUCUACCACCGGAUUUGACUCUGUAGAUCCACCCCAGUGUAAGCUUUCAUUUCCAUGCGUAUUAUUAGUGACCGCUAUUCAGCUAAUGGUGCAGCAACUUGCAGCAGCCUCUAAUGGCGGAUCCGGUGACUGCUGCUGCUGCUGCCAUAGGAUGGGGCCUGAAAGCCGUAGGCUGGGUCGCCUCGCCGGUCAUCUCCGACCUUUUCAAGAAAUGCUCCUCCUUCGUCAGCUUUGACACAUCGGAGAAGCUGAGAAAACUUGAGCCGAAGAUUUUUCUGCUGGAGCGGGUGAUGGAGAUGAUGGCGGAGAGCCCUCACAGGGUUCGUCUCCAGCAGCUGUUCGAGGACCUCAAGACUGCUUUCUACGAAGCUGAAGACAUCUUGGAUGAUGUUGAGUAUCAUCGCCUCAAGAAGGAGGUCCAAGAUUACGAGCUCACCUCAGACCGUCAGACGGGCCUCCAAGUACCAUGGAUUUGCUGAAGCACAAGGUCCAGUCCCUGGCCGUCUCCCCCCUAACAAAUAAGGUCGUUUGCCAUCCUCAAGCUCUUCUGUUUUCAGAUUUCUCUCUCGCCCUCAAAACUUAUCGUGUAUAAAAUGUUCCAAACUUGUUCUUUUACUGAACCACUGCUCCCACUGAAGUAUAACUACGUGUUGAGUUGUUAGUGACACUUAGGUCGGGCUAUCAAAUCUUAGAAAAAUCAGGUUCUUUCCUCUUUUGAUGCAUUACAGCUUUUUGGAAAAUCCACUUAAUCUGUGACAAGCGAGAGUACUAGUCAGAGGCUUAAAGCAUACAAGGAAGGACAAAAUGGAUAAAAAUGAGCGUUGGCACAGCUGACCGAGGAGACUGGUAUGUCCAAAAAGCAAUUAAAACGGAGCCUGGAGAAAAUAGAAAAGGUUACAAAUGAAGCACACCAAAUUUUGGAAUGGCUGAACUUGCCCACUGUAAAUAAGGGACAGCCUAGUGCAGCCAAUGCAUGUACCACUGCAACUUCCCCAGUAAAGGUAAUUGGUCGAGAUGAGGAUCGUGACAAGAUCAUAGAAAUGCUUCAUGAGAAUGCCAGUCAUGGUAAGACAAACAUGAAUAGCAGUCUAUGUUAUUCUGUUGUUGGAAUUCAUGGCAUAGCUGGAUCUGGGAAAUCAACCCUUGCACAGUUUGUUUUUGCCCAGGAAGAAAAAGACAAGCUAGCCGAAAAAGAUGGCCAUUUUGGCAUUCUAUUAUGGGUUCAUGUCUCUCAAAAACCUAGCAUCGAGGUCAUUUACAGGCGAAUGUUUGAGGCAAUUGAAGGAUAUGAUUGUGAACUUAAUAGUCUUGAUAGGCUACAACAAGAACUGAAGGAUAUCCUGACUAGCAAAAGGUUUUUCUUGGUACUAGAUGAUGUCUGGUGCAACAAGGAUGUUGGCGAGCAGAAUCUGCCACAAUUACUUUCUCCAUUCAAGAUUGGAAAGAGAGGAAGCAAGAUCCUAGCGACAAGUCGAAAUGUAGAUGCCUUCUCGGAUCUUGGUCCUGAUGUGAGAUGCGCCAAUUUUCCAAUUAGUGACUUGGGUGAUAGUAUGUUCCUUGAGCUAUUCAUGUACCAUGCACUUGGAGAUAGGCACGCAGACGAUGGAGUUGGGAGCACACUCUGGAAUAUUGGGGUUCACAUUGCAAAAAAGCUUAAGAGGUCACCUCUAGCAGCCAGUACAGUGGGAGGACAACUACGUAAAAGAAAAAAUGUUGAGUUUUGGAGAAGAGCUAGAGAUCGGGACUUACUGAACGAGACGAUGGGAGCUCUAUCAUGGAGCUACCAGCAUCUUAAUGAGCAGAUUAGACAAUGCUUUGCUUACUGUAGUAUGUUCCCCAGAGGGCAUCAUUUCAGACCUAAUGUGUUACUUAAGUUGUGGGUGGCAGAAGGGUUUAUAAGAAGUACUAAUGCAGGUAAGGAAAUGGAAGAUGUUGGUCAGGAUUACUUUGAUGAACUUGUGUCAAUCUCAUUUCUGCAAUAUGGGGGAAAGGAGUCCUGCGGUGAGGACUACUAUUUAAUGCAUGAUCUGAUGUAUGAUUUAGCAGAGAGGAUCGCUGGACACGAUUGCUUUAGAAUUGAGGAUGGAUGGACAGGAGAAAUUCCUCCAGGUGUUCGCCAUCUUUUUAUUGAUACUUAUAAUGGGGAGAAGCUUGCCAUGAAGAUUUUUCAACUGGAAAAUUUACGCACUCUCAUCAUUAAAGUUAUCAAAUUAUGGACACCACGUGAUGAAGAAGUUUUCAAGAAUAUAAUCAUGAGGCUGCAAAAAUUGCGGGUACUGAACGUGACUUUUGGUUUGACUUGGCAUGUCAAUUUCUUAGAACCUAUUGGUGUCAAGCAUAUACGUCACCUUACUUACAGGAUCAGCAAAUCACAUGGUCUCAUUUUACCAAGGACCUUUAAAAAACUUCACCACAUUCAGACACUUGAUUUUGGUAAUUGCAAACGUCUUUCGCUCUCCAAAGAUGAAGUUGGGAUUAAUUUGGUUAGCUUGCGGCAUGUAGGGAAUGCCAGCAUUUUGAAGUUGGUGAACAUUGCCAGGUCGACAUCACUCCAAGAGUUAGGACCAUACUUCACAGUAAGUAAGGAAAGAGGUUGCAAUAUAAAACAUCUGAGGGAUCUAAACCAGCUUCGUGGCCGUCUGCGCAUUAGAGGUGUUGAAAAUGUUAAAAGCAGUGAGGAAGCUCUUGAAGCCAAGCUAGCUGAUAAGGAGCAACUCACCGAGCUAGAACUAUGCUGGGAUUGUGAUCAGGAGAGCUGCAAUCCAGAAGUUGAAGUAGAGGUACUUGAGGGUCUAUGCCCUCCGAAGGAUCUUGAAAAACUGGAACUCUGCGGGUACAAUGGAGCGAGAUACCCUAAUUGGAUGGUGGGUAGGCAGAAUGGUGGCUUAAAGUGCCUGCAAGUACUUAAGCUCUGGAAAUGCAGCUUAGGGCCUGCUCCCGUUUUUGAGGUCUUCACUCUACUUCGUGUCCUCUCUCUUUCGGCAUGCAUCUGGGUGACCUUACCAGAUAACAUGGUGCGCCUGAAAUCACUCGAGGAACUGUCCAUUGAAUUAUGUCAGAAUAUCCAGUCUCUUCCAGCCCUGCCCCACUCACUCAAGAAACUGUCCAUCAAAUAUUGUAAGAAUAUUCGGUCUCUUCCAGUACUGCCCCAGUCCCUUGAGGAAUUGUCCAUCGAUUAUUGCCCGAAUAUUCAGUCUCUUCCAGUGCUGCCCCAGGCCCUCACGAAACUGUCCACUGUUGAUUGCCCGAAUAUCCAGUCGCCUCCAGAACUGCUCCGGUCCCUUGAGGAGUUUGAAGUUUGAACUCGAGCGCUGCAAUGAGGUGCUCACGAGAUCGUGUGAAACAAUUGGAGAUCCAAACCGGCAAAAGAUUCAGCACAUUCAGAAGAAAAAAAUUGGACCAAGUAACUGCAUGAGUGAUUGGGUACACCAUAUAGAUCCCCAUGAUGCUUACUUUUCCUAUUGUGUAUUCUGGAAAAUUUCGCUAUGUAGGUUCCAUAAGUACGAGCCAUUACUAGUUCUGAUUAUGCAUCUUAAAUUCCUUGGCUUAACCUGCCAAAAAACAAAGCUGUACAGUUUGAUGACAAUGUUUCCAGCAUCUGAACACGUGGGUCGUCUGGGCGCAUCUGCUUGGUUCUUUGAUACCGGGUUAUCUGGGACUGAAGGGUGCUGUCUACCGAUCCUGUCAUACAGCAAGAACGGUGCAGAAUGCCAUGUCCGAAGUUGAUGAACAGUGAAACUACUCGUUUCCUAUUGUUUGCGAAAUCGUUGAAUGUUAAGUGCUGAAUUUAUGAAUUGCCCAUGGAUUUUUAAAAUAUGGGACGACGAACAAUAGUUUCCUGUAUUGUAAUAUCUUGCAGUGCUGAACCCUGAAUUGACUAGUUCCCUUUGGUUUGUAAUAGUGUGGAAUGAUGAACGCUGAAUUUAUACAUUUCCUGAAGUUUGUGGUAAUUUCCAGUUAUGAUGUGAGC